GCUACGAGCGGUUAAGAGACUACAGCUCCCAGGAUGUACGGUGAUGGCACCCGUUUGGACUCCGCCCCUCUGCGCGUCUAGAGCUGUUCUCCCGUGCGGAGGGGAUCCUGGCUGUUCCCAAAUCUCGCCUGCCUGCGAGGAGCCAGCGUGGCCCGGGCAGCUGAUCUCAACCUGUGAUUGUGACAUCACCCCUACCUGAGGAAGCCUCUUCCAGCCUGCUCAAGUUUUUCAGAUUAACUAAGUAAUUCAUAUUGUACAUUUCUGAAAUUGAAGUACGCACAGCUUCAAUUCUGUGCAGGGAGGAUGCAGCAGGAGAGAAUAUCCUGGGCACAUCUUUCUGGAGAAUCACUUUUACUACAAGAUUUGUAAGAAACAAAUUUAUUUCCAAGGGUGGCCAACUUGGGUGUCUUCCUCUGCCAGGGUCAAGGACAAGGAUUGAAACGGGUGGGGCCUGGAGCCCUAGCCAAUCAGUGGCGCCAGCGUGAAACUGUCCAAUCAAGUGCGCAGCUACAGAGGAAGAGGCGGCCUCUUCAAUAUGGCGGGGCCUUUGUCUCCUAGCUUCCGGGCUCUGAUCCUAG
rnacentral:lncRNA from 1 species